GAUGAAGAACGCAGCGAAAUGCGAUGCGUAAUGUGAAUUGCAGAAUUCAGUGAAUCAUCGAAUCUUUGAACGCAUAUUGCGCUCUCUGGUAUUCCGGAGAGCAUGCUUGUUUGAGUAUCAGUAAACACCUCAACUCCCUUUUCUUUUUUGAAAUGGGAGCUGGACUUGAGUGAUCCCAACACUUUUCUCACUGGAAAGUGGCGGGUCACUUGAAAUGCAGGUGCAGCUGGACUUUUCUCUGAGCUAUAAGCAUAUCUAUUUAGUCUGCCUAAAAAACAGAUUAUUACCUUUGCUGCAGCUAACAUAAAGGAGAUGAGUUCUUGUGCUGACUGAUGCAGGAUUCACAGAGACAGCUUUGCGGCUGACUUUGUAAACUCGAUCUCAAAUCAAGUAAGACUACCCGCUGAACUUAAGCAUAUCAAUAAGCGGAGGA
rnacentral:misc_RNA from 1 species